UAAGGAAUAUUGGUCAAUGGACGGAAGUCUGAACCAGCCAUGCCGCGUGGAGGAUGAAGGUCCUCUGGAUUGUAAACUUCUUUUAUCUGGGAAGAAAUCCAUCUUUUCUAGGGUGGUUGACGGUACCAGAUGAAUAAGCACCGGCUAACUCCGUGCCAGCAGCCGCGGUAAUACGGAGGGUGCAAGCGUUAUCCGGAUUCACUGGGUUUAAAGGGUGCGUAGGUGGGCAGGUAAGUCAGUGGUGAAAUCCUGUAGCUUAACUACAGAACUGCCAUUGAUACUAUCUGUCUUGAAUACCCUGGAGGUGAGCGGAAUAUGUCAUGUAGCGGUGAAAUGCUUAGAUAUGACAUAGAACACCCAUUGCGAAGGCAGCUCACUACGGGAAUAUUGACACUGAGGCAACGAAAGCGUGGGGAUCAAACAGGAUUAGAUACCCUGUAGUCCACGCCCUAAACGAUGGAUACUGACAUCAGCGAA
rnacentral:rRNA from 1 species